CUGACGGACUGCCUAAGGUUGUAUCACCCAUCUCGAAACCUACGGGUGGCCAUCUUCUCGAAGAUCCGACGGUCAGCCUCCUCAUCUUGAGGAAUCUCGAAUCGAUAGUACUCCUGCAAGUAGAAGCAAGCAUAUAUUAAUAAAUAGAAUACAAACCUAUCAUAAAUUUAAAAAUUAAAUACCUUUAACUUAUCAGGAACAUCUCCCAGACUGCAUCACCAGCCCUCGAUAGCUAACUGGAGAACUCAUUCAUCGGCCCUGGCAUCAAUCAUCGGAUGAUCCCGAUAAUCACACGAGGCAUGGAGGUCUCUGUAGAUAUGCUACAAAAUUGAUUUUGAUCAAUAAAUGUUAGACUCUACAAUGACUAAAUUUUAAACAUAUCCAGUGAAGAUAUAGUAUUUAUGAGCGGCUCUGAAUGUAGAUGAGCUCUCUAUCCUCUGAUUGAGUCAGAGGUACUGCGAGCCGGACGGAUCCUCUACCAUCCCACUAACACUGAUAGCCAGACGCUGCUCUAUAUGACUGUGAGGUCACUGAUGACCCCACAUCAUCCGAAUCUGAGAGUAUUAAGACAUCAUAAAGAAUGUUCUAUUAGAUAAUAGAAGAUAAAAUAACAUAAAGAAGAAUAUCUAAAGAAUUAGAGUUUAUCGUGUGGUACG
rnacentral:lncRNA from 1 species